rnacentral:rRNA from 1 species
CCUACGGGUGGCAGCAGUGAGGAAUAUUGGUCAAUGGGCGGAAGCCUGAACCAGCCAAGUAGCGUGCAGGAUGACGGCCCUACGGGUUGUAAACUGCUUUUAUACGGGAAUAACGCGCCUUACGUGUAGGGCUUUGCAUGUACCGUAUGAAUAAGGACCGGCUAAUUCCGUGCCAGCAGCCGCGGUAAUACGGAAGGUCCGGGCGUUAUCCGGAUUUAUUGGGUUUAAAGGGAGCGUAGGCCGCAUGUCAAGCGUGCUGUGAAAUGUCCGGGCUCAACCCCGGCGAGCCGUUGAAACUGUCGGACGAGAGACGGCGAGAAGUACGCGGAAUGCGCGGUGUAGCGGUGAAAUGCAUAGAUAUCGCGCAGAACUCCGAUUGCGAAGGCAGCGUACCGGCGCCGGACUGACGCUGAGGCACGAAAGCGUGGGUAUCGAACAGGAUUAGAUACCCUAGUAGUC